rnacentral:misc_RNA from 1 species
GGAGAGGGCACUACGAACGUUCUUGACGUCAAACGGUGUUUAGCAUUAUCGAUGACCGGCGGAAUUAAUAUUGAAAAACCCCACUUCAUUUAUGUCGUCCAUGAAAACAUUCAUCAUGCCGUGAGACGGAGAAUCAGUUGUGCGUAUCUUCGAUGAUGUCUGUGUUUAACUGUGACAAUACAUAGUACUAGCCAACCACGCAGUCACCAGUCAUGUGUGACAUGCAAAGAAAAUAUUUCUCCCCGCGGCUUCUCGACUACAUCGUGAUCACGGGGAGUCGGCACCCCAACCACAACAACCAUGUGUCCCAGACCCCGGAGCUGCUGCGACGCUACCCGCUGGAGGACCACAAGGAUUUCCAGCUCCCGAUUGAUGUUGUCUUCUUCUGCCAGCCGGAGGGAUGCAUCAGUGUGGGGCCCAAACGCAUGAGUCUGAGGGAGACCACCUCAUUCGUGUUCACGUUGACGGAAAAAGAUUCGGGAAUCACGAGAUACGGAAUUUGCGUCAAUUUUUUCCGACCUUUCGAGAAGCAGAGCUAUUCCUCCUGCGACUGGCAGAAGUCGGACAGACUGAACUUGUGUAGCAUGAAUUCUGGUGAUGGGGGCUCGUUGGAGUCUGAGAAGCCAAAAUCCCCCAGGACUAAGUCUAGGUCUCGGCCGGCUGGUCGUGUACGUAACAAUACCCUGACAUCGUUGUGUAUCAUCAGUCAUCAUCCAUUCUACUCGACGUUCCGCGAGUGCUUGUUCGUGUUGCGUCGGUUGAUCGAAGCGUGUCAUGACAGAAGCUGCACAAAAAGAAUUGGUGGAUCGAAAGGCUCCGCUAGGGACACGGUGUGGGGCGUGCUGACUGGACAGUGCAGUGACAACAUUCCUUCCCUUGUUAUGCAUGAAGUUCGUGAGAUUGAGACGUGGAUUCUGCGCCUACUUAGUGCUCCGGUUCCAGUGCCUAUGAAAACCAGAGUGGAGGUGAGCAUCUUGCCGAAAGACCUGCAGCCCCCUCUGCUGUUUGCCCUGCCCGACCACACCCGGUUCACGCUGAUCGACUUUCCUCUCCAUCUACCUCUUGAGCUGCUCGGUGUCGAGACGUGUCUCAAGGUCUUAACUGCUGUUAUCCUCGAACAUAAGGUUGUGUUACAGUCAAGAGACUACAAUGCCUUGUCGAUGAGUGUGAUUGCGUUUGUGUCCAUGUUUUACCCACUCGAGUACAUGUUUCCGGUCAUCCCCCUUCUACCAACAUGUAUGGCUUCUGCCGAACAGUUGCUCUUGGCGCCAACUCCAUUUCUGAUAGGAGUUCCAGCAAGCUUUUUCUUGUACAAGAAGGACUUCCAGCUGCCAGAUGAUAUUUGGCUGGUUGAUCUCGACUCCAACAAGAUUAUUUCUCCGUCUACCGCUGAACACUUACCACCAUUGCCAGAUCCUGAAAGUACCGCUCUGAAGACUCACCUAAAACAGGCUCUUGCGAGCAUGAGCAUGACUCCUCAGCCAAUCAAAAAUCUUGAUGCUCUCGCACAAAACCCUGAAAUGUGGCACCGUCGGGAAAGCUUCUCGUCACAGACGGGAUUCAAUCCGCUGAUAUACGGCAACGACGUCGACUCGGUGGACGUGGCGACGCGGGUCGCGAUGGUUCGAUUUUUCAACUCGCCAAAUAUUCUUGGAAACUUCUGUGAGCACACCAGGACUAUGCGGCUGUAUCCUCGUCCAGUUGUCGCUUUUCAGUUGUACAGCUUCCUGAAGUCUCGUCCGAUAAAAUCACACUUCACCGCUAGACUCGCACGCACACAAUCUGUCGAAUAUUUUGGCGAGUGGUCACUGAGUCCCCUGAACGUGGUGUACCUGCGGGUGCAGACCGGUGUCUACGAUCCAUCGCUGAUCGGUGACAAGCCCAAGUGGUACGCCCAGCACCUGCAGCCCCUGGAGUUCAAGGUGUACGAUGAGAACUCAACGCUCGGUGCCGCGCUCAGCUCCUCCUUGGAGAUGUACAGCGAUGAAAUACCCACAGACGAGAGUGGAAGUGACAGCGAGGGUGCGGAAAGUACGAGUUCCUCCUACUCCUCUCUCAGUGACUUCGUCACCGACAUGAUGAACAGUGAAAUAGAUGGGGAAUCCCCAGCGUUUUACCGAGAGAACCAGGUUCUCGCUGUAGACGAAUCGAAGGUGUUCUGCCCGCCCAGCACGCUGCAUGUGCCCGAGAACCCGGCCACUAACAGCGACUCCGCCCUGUCCCUGCCGGACAGCGACCUCAGCUCCUCGGACUCGUCCAGCCCAACGUACAGCCAGGACGCGCCCAAAGAUACCCAUUCCAAGGAUAGCGAGAAUGAGGAUGGCCAGAUAUUCCGAUAUGACUCGGGUCAUGUGUCCAUGAUUGGCCAGUCUAUCAGCAGCCGACCCGGCAGUACGAGUUCGCCUGAUUCCCUGCGAAAGUCUCCCCACCCACCCAACGUGCAGGUGAUACGCACGACCGACCCACACACGACAGGCUUUGAGCCCUCGGAGAAAUCACCAGCCAUGCUGAAACCGCUUACGGGGAACAGGUCCUUCUCCAGAAACGACAGGGCCAGCAACUCCAGUGGGGGAUCCAGUGGGUCCACAAGGAAAACACUGAAGGCAUCAAGUGAUCGGGACUCUGACAGAUCAUCAGGCUCCUCCAUUAUUUCCACCAUCAGCAAUGAGCUCACCGACAUGGCGCAGUCUGCAACUACCACUAUGUCAGAACUCUUCGGAAGCAAUAAGUCAACGACACAGCAACAAGUAAAUAAGGGCCACUCCCACCACAACGCGAUUGCCAACAAACCACCUGCCAAACAGUUCACUCCUCUUGGACCCCGAAAAGCAUUAGUGGAGAAGUCUGGCCUGGUGAAACAUGCGAGCAGCAACAAGCCAGAAAUUCGCAAACAGCCUUCUAUGGAUGCAAGGAGUUCUUCCAAUAGUGAGAACCAACAGUUUCUGAAGGAGGUGGUGAAGAGCGUGCUGGAAGGGCAGGGCGUUAGCUGGCUGAAGCUGAAUCGCAUCAAGAAGCUGAUGGAGGAUGAGAACUACCGCAACUUCAUCAUCAGCCGCCUCAACAAGAACCUGGACCGCAAGCAGCCCGACGACAUGCCACACAUGGAAGACGUGUGUGUGAACCGCACUAUCUUCAAGGGCAUGCUGACGAUUGCCAAAGCCAUUUGCCAUGGUUUGGAGCACACGUAUCAAAACCACGGUCUGGGUGGGAUGGCAAGUGCAUUCAUGUUGAUGGAAAUACUGCACACCCACUACUGGUGUCGCGAGAUCAUUGGAGGGAGCAACAGCAACCGCAGUGACAGUCUCACCCCCGAUAUGGCCUCACUUCAUGGAAGCCACGAGAGUUUAGCCUCGUCUAAAGGUGACGAAUCUAUGCAGAAAUCAUCCAACGUUCAGAGUGUAUCUGAAGAACACGGACCAGCUGUGAUUGGUUCUCCAGUGAUUGUCAACGGAGAUGAGUUUGAGAAUCUCGAGAUCCCUGUCAUGUCCGAUAGCAGUGGACAUUCGGACAACUCGGUAGGCGGGACAGUGCGGCCGGUGAUGGACUUAAACAAAAAUGUGGGGAAACCGCCGCUGCCUGUCCACCAGCCCGUGCGUACCUGUGAUAUCAUCGUGACUGACCUGGACGAGUCAAGCGUUUCGGCGCGGUCGGGCGAUAUGAUGCACGAUAUGGUGAGGAACAAGGAGCUGCUGAAGUCGACGCGACUCGACAAGUUCAACAGUCUUGAUUCAGAGAUCUCUGAGGCAAGCACACUCGUCAGCACGAGCUCGGAGAAAGACGACGAACACAGGAAGCGAUCGCGCAUCAACCACCACUCCAUACGCAGCGCACUCAGCGACAGCGAAAUGGAUUCCACUGGGGUGAUGCGUUUCAACAAGAGGAACAGAUCUCCCAGCUCGUGGAGUGCGAAGAGCAACCUGAGUGUGGGCUACCGGUACACGGACGGGAAACUCAUCAACACUGCGCUGCUGCAGCUGAAAACCACCAUGGCAAAAACAUACCUCUUUGAGGGCAUGCUCGGAAAGGACCGUUCUCGCCUGUGGGACCAGCUCCAGUUCUGGGAGGACCUCUUCCUCGAUGCUGUGGCCCAGGAACGCGACAUCAUCGGCAUGGACCAGAGACCCUCUGAGAUGAUGGAGAGAUACCGGUCUCUGGGCAACCAGGAACGUAAGCGCCUGGAGCACGACGAGGACCGCCUGCUGUCCCAGAUGCUGUACAACCUGGUGGGUUUCAUGGUGAUGAUGAACGUCAACAAGAACGACACACGCCGCAAGGUGCGGCGGCUGCUCGGCAAGUCGCACAUCGGACUGCUCUACAGCCAGGACGUCAACAACCUCCUCGACCAGAUCAACAACCUGUUUGGUAAUGAUAUUGACCUUCGACCUUUGGCGAGUCGACAGAUGCAGAAACAAUCAUUCACUGUCCACUGGGGGACGGACAAUUCAGGAGACAUGUUAUUCAUGGAGGUUUGUGACGACUGCCUGUUACUGCGGAGUGUGACGGGAACGAUACACGACCGGUGGUGGUUUGAGAAGCUCGUCAACAUGACGUACUGCCCGAAGACCAAGGUGCUGUGUCUGUGGAGGAAGCAGGGCGACAAGGUGCAGCUCAACCAGUUCUACACCAAGAAGUGUCGAGAGCUGUACUUCUGUGUGAAAGAAUCGAUGGAGAAAGCAGCGUCGAGAAAUGCAGGAAAAUUACCAGGUCCUGAGUUAGGUGGCGAGUUUCCCGUGCAGGACCUGAAGACGGGUCAGGGUGGGUUACUCCAGGUGUGUAUGGAGGGGAUAGGUCUCCUGCUGGCCAAUAGCAAGGACAUGGAGAUUCCAAAACUAAACAAAUAGUACAGCACAAGUACAAGUCCAGUAUGAGCAACGAGGCCGCCCUUAUGCUUCACCGAAUAAUUACCGUCCGAUGGGCUAAAGUAGGAUACAUGAGAAAAAAAAAGGAUGAAAACGGAAACAGCUGACCAGAUUUGCUAUGCAGUUCUAUGCUUAUUUUCCU